rnacentral:rRNA from 1 species
UACGGAGGGGGCUAGCGUUGUUCGGAAUUACUGGGCGUAAAGCGCACGUAGGCGGCUUUGUAAGUUAGAGGUGAAAGCCCAGGGCUCAACCCUGGAAUUGCCUUUAAGACUGCAUCGCUUGAAUCAUGGAGAGGUGAGUGGAAUUCCGAGUGUAGAGGUGAAAUUCGUAGAUAUUCGGAAGAAACACCAGUGGCGAAGGCGAACUCACUGGACAUGUAUUGACGCUGAGGUGCGAAAGCGUGGGGAGCAAACA